rnacentral:rRNA from 1 species
CAGUAGCCGCGGUAAUACGAAGGGGGCUAGCGUUGCUCGGAAUGACUGGGCGUAAAGGGCGCGUAGGCGGUUGGUACAGUCAGAUGUGAAAUUCCUGGGCUUAACCUGGGGGCUGCAUUUGAUACGUGCUAGCUUGAGUGGGGAAGAGGGUCGUGGAAUUCCCAGUGUAGAGGUGAAAUUCGUAGAUAUUGGGAAGAACACCGGUGGCGAAGGCGGCGACCUGGUCCUUUACUGACGCUGAGGCACGAAAGCGUGGGGAGCAAACAGGAUUAGAUACCCCCGUAGUCCCUGUCUCUUAUAC